GCAUCAGCAAGCCAAAAUCAGUUGGCCAAAUCUAGCAGAGUAUCAACUACUCCCAAGCCAACACAUUCAAUCCCUAUUGAGCGUCAAUGCUUUCAGCUAGAUCAAGCCUUUAUUUCAUUCUCCUUCAUCUACAUCUUUAGUAUGCAUUCCCAUACUUGCCUCCCAGUUAGGCUACUCAGGGGUCAGGGACCCACUUGAGGAGGCAGUCUGUCCAUUCUCAGAUCUCCAGCUCUGUGCUGGGAGA
rnacentral:lncRNA from 10 species